rnacentral:rRNA from 1 species
GGUGAACGCUAGCGGCGUGCAUAACACAUGCAAGUCGAGCGAUGAGGCCCCUUCGGGGGUACAUCAGCGGCGGACGGGUGAGUAACACGUAGGUGACCUGCCCCGAAGAGGGGGAUAACUAUUGGAGACAAUGGCUAAUACCCCAGUGAUCGGCGAUUCGAUUCGCCGAUUAAAGCUCCGGCGCUUCGGGAUGGGCCUGCGGCUUAUCAGCUAGUUGGUAGGGUAAUGGCCUACCAAGGCUAUGACGAGUAGCUGGUCUGAGAGGAUGGUCAGCCACACUGGCAUUGAGAUACGGGCCAGACUCCUACGGGAGGCAGCAGUGAGGAAUAUUGCGCAAUGGGCGAAAGCCUGACGCAGCAACGCCGUGUGGGGGAAGAAGGCCUUCGGGUUGUAAACCCCUUUUCUGGGGGAAGAGGAAGGACGGUACCUCAGGAAUAAGCCCCGGCCAACUACGUGCCAGCAGCCGCGGUAAAACGUAGGGGGCGAGCGUUAUCCGGAUUCACUGGGCGUAAAGCGCACGCAGGCGGCUCGGUAGGUCGGGCGUGAAAGCUCCGGGCUCAACCCGGAGAGGUCGUUCGAUACCGCCGGGCUUGAGGACGGGAGAGGGAGGUGGAAUUCCCGGUGUAGCGGUGAUAUGCGUAGAUAUCGGGAGGAACACCAGUGGCGAAGGCGGCCUCCUAGCCCGCUCCUGACGCUAAGGUGCGAAAGCUAGGGUAGCAAACGGGAUUAGAGACCCCGGUAGUCCUAGCCGUAAACGGUGGAUACUAGGUGUUGGCCGUUUAUUCGGUCAGUGCCAAAGCUAACGCGAUAAGUAUCCCGCCUGGGAACACGAGCGCAAGCUU